GCCAGUUUCCAGUUUCGAGUUUGCUACCUUUUUUGUGGCGUGGCAUUACCCUUCUUUUAUCUCUACGCGGUAUUCCUUCAAAUUGCUCCAAUUCAGACUACAUUGCGCUUAAAGUGUUCUGUGUUCUGAACUUGCUUUCUUCUCUGGCUCCUCGUAAAUGAAUUUUGGAAAGCGCCGUACCAUCAGCCUGGCAUCGCUCCAGCGAAUCUCGCGGGAGCAUGCGGUUAUGCUGGACGACCGCUGCGGUAGCGUCGAUUUGUGGACGGAUGACGGCGUACAUUACGGGCGGAUCGUGGACGUUGGCGUCGGCGGCCUUUUAUCGACUUCCUCUGCCCGGAUCGGCACCGCCAGUUCGCCCCCUACGGCCGCAUCUUCCGGAUGCCGAGGCCCUGCGAACUGCGAGAGUGGAGCAGCCGUAAGACGUGUUGGCACCUGCAGGUCAUCUGGCGUUCCCAUCAACACGGACCCUGGACCUGGGUGGGGGCGGAGCGGGUGUUGAGUCCCGCGGGGUGCUGGCGCAUGGACGCGUGGCUGGUGCGGCUCCACAACGCCGCGGGCCGGGCGGCGGGGGCCCUGCACGUCUUCCCGACCGCCUGGAUCCGCUAUCCCAGCGAGAGUGCGGUCAGGGACAGCGCGGCUGGGACGAAUGGCGGACCUCCAGGGGAAGAGAAGUUGCGGCGCUAUUACGGGGACGCUUACGCUGAGCUCUUGGUCGGCCCGGAGACGUACGUCUUCGGGAGGGUGCAGUUGCCGGCGGCCUGUGCCGCUGUAUCGGAGGAGACGCAGCGGUGUCUGAUGGAGGCGUGGUUGUACCGCCCCGACCUUUCGUGGCCGCCGUGUGAGCUUCUCCGUCGGUUGGAUGAUGGCGUCCCGUGGAUGUAUGUGGAGCGCACAGGCAUGGAAGGUUGGCAGGAGGGCUUCCGGAAGGUUGCGCCGCGUCUGCAGUUAGCGCUGCCGCGGAUAUUCCGAAUGCUGGACGUGCCCUUGGCCGUGGAGGCAGCCGCUGGCGACGGACUACAGCAUCUACCGUUGGAACUGCUGCUGGAGGUCUUUUCCCAUCUGGACACGGCAGAGCGGACGCGUCUGCGCCCAGUGUGCGCUCUCUGGGCCAGCGUUGUGCAGUCGGCGCCGCUGGCCACCGACCUCGUCAUUAGAGGACGCACCGACUACGCCCUCCUGGCCACCCUCGUCCACGCUUGUCGCUCUUCCACCCGUCGUCUUGUCCUUCACAACGGCGAUCUGGACAACCUCCUGAAACUGGCCGGGGUGGGCGCGCACUGCCCGGGAAUCCGGGUACCCACCGUCCACCUCCCUCGUCUGACGUGUCGGCUCUCCGUCGACGCGUGCCCGCACCGGGCGGCGUCGACGGGAUGCUCGGUGGGGUACUUUACGGAGGCGCUGCGCCGCCUGCCAUGUGAAGAGAUUAAGGUGUGGCAGUGCCACAUUGACCUGCUGGACAUCGCCGGUUACGCUGAUGAGGAGCUGCGUUUGUACUGCAUGAUGGACACCCCUGUUAACAUUCCCGUGGCUCAUGUUCAGCCGACGAGUGCGGUGUUGGUGGAGCAAGUGUGGGAGCUUCUGGAGGCGGGUGUGGCGUGGACAGUUGCUGCGGAUGACAAGCAGCGCGCCGCGGUCUGGAUGGCGGAAAUGAGAGCCAUCCAGCAGCCACUGGCCAAACAGUAGCGCUUCCUGCUGGACUGGCUGUGCGAGACGCUGUGUGCGCUGCAGCAUGCCGUGCACCGCGCCGGUGCCCCGAUCUACGAGCAGUGCAGUAUGGCCCUGCUGGAGGUGGACGUGGAGCAUGCGUCGCCGCUGGUGCUGGCCUGCUUGGUGCAGUGUGCCGAGCAAUGGGAAGUGAGCCAUGACGGGAAUGUGGAGGAACCGCAAGAUUGGGCACAUAACACGAUGCUGAAGGCUCUGGUGGAGACGCGCAUAUGCCGCUCUUAGAGGGUUUCUUAGUUCUUUCUGUUUCCCUGGUUUGUACCGUGUUUGUGUGUUGUUUUUUUUGUUUUUCUCUGCCUCCGCUGGUCUGUAGUGGGUCGUUUUCUGUGAUUGGGUUUUACAGGAUUUUGCAUGUCUGCUUUUUUGGCGAAAUUGUCGUCCAUAGAGCCACGGUCCAUACGUGCAGUGUCGUUGGCGCCCUUUGUGUGGAUCAACGGUGUGCUGGACUGUACAAGCAUACCGGCGAUACCGCGUAUCCGGCGAACGAUUGCGAGCCGGGAAAAAUGGAGACGAAACGGGUAACUCGCACGCGAGUGGUAGUGAGGAAAUUGUCAGCGACUUCCGGAAACGAAAGCGCCGAAAUAACGUAUGCGUGCUCUUCAGAAACUUACGAAGGAGACAACUCCGCCUCGAUAGAAGUAUAGCAGGAGUACGUAGUAGUCGUAGAAGCAUAUCCGUGUACUGCUGGCGCGUGAUAACUGACAAGUACAGUACCAGUCACAACCAAAUACACCACUGCUUCCUUUAUCUGCGUCUCUGUUACGUAUCGGGAAUGCUACGCCUGAAUGGGUUGUGCCGCAGCGUGCAGCCGGGACUGCUGAUCGUGAGUAGCAGUUUCACUGGCAA